rnacentral:rRNA from 1 species
GACGAACGCUGGCGGCGUGCCUAAUACAUGCAAGUCGAACGAGUGGCGGACGGGUGAGUAAUGUCUGGGCACCUGCCCGAUGGAGGGGGAUAACUACUGUAAACGGUAGCUAAUACCGCAUACCAUCGGAUGUGCCCAGAUGGGAUUAGCUAGUGGGUGGGGUAACGGCUCACCUAGGCGACGAUCCCUAGCUGGUCUGAGAGGGUGACCAGCCACACUGGAACUGAGACACGGUCCAGACUCCUACGGGAGGCAGCAGUGGGGAAUAUUGCACAAUGGGCGCAAGCCUGAUGCAGCCAUGCCGCGUGUGUGAAGAAGGCCUUCGGGUUGUAAAGUACUUUCAGCGAGGAGGCGUUACUCGAAGAAGAAGCACCGGCUAACUCCGUGCCAGCAGCCGCGGUAAUAC